rnacentral:rRNA from 1 species
UACGUAGGGGGCAAGCGUUGUUCGGAAUUACUGGGCGUAAAGGGCGCGUAGGCGGCUGCGUAAGUCGGGAGUGAAAGCCCGGGGCUCAACCCCGGAAUGUCUCUCGAAACUGCGCGGCUCGAGUGCGGAAGAGGCAACUGGAAUUCCCAGUGUAGCGGUGAAAUGCGUAGAUAUUGGGAAGAACACCUGAGGCGAAGGCGGGUUGCUGGGCCGACACUGACGCUAAGGCGCGAAAGCCAGGGGAGCAAACGGG